UACGAAGGGGGCGAGCGUUGUUCGGAAUUACUGGGCGUAAAGGGUGCGUAGGCGGCGCGGUAAGUCGGGUGUGAAAUCUCGGAGCUUAACUCCGAAACUGCAUUCGAUACUGCCGUGCUUGAGGACUGGAGAGGAGACUGGAAUUUACGGUGUAGCGGUGAAAUGCGUAGAUAUCGUAAGGAAGACCAGUGGCGAAGGCGGGUCUCUGGACAGUUCCUGACGCUGAGGCACGAAGGUCAGGGGAGCAAACGGG
rnacentral:rRNA from 1 species